CUUUUGAAUUCUCUCUAUAUCCCUAGAUUGUUCCUCUGUCAAACUCCCAUGCCAAAUUUGAGCUCCAUAUUCUACGAUUGAUCGAAUUGCCGAAGUAUAAAUAGUUUUCAAGUCAUCUCGCGGAGCAUUAUAUCCUUUUAAAAUUUUUAAAAGAUAUAAUCGUUUAGCUGCCUUUUUGACAAUGUAUUCCGUAUUUGUUCUCCAUUUUAGAUCAUCGUCUAACCACAAUCCAAGUAAUUUAUACGAGCUUACUCUUUCUAGGAUGCAUUCAUCGACUUCUGUUGCAGGAAUAGCUGUUCUAUCCUUUCGAAAGUCGAUAAUCAUCUCUUUGCACUUUUUUGGGUUUAACUCCAUUCUCUCAAUUUCCGCAAAAUUCUUUACCGAAUUAAUUUUUUGGGGUAUAUUACCAAUUUCCGUGCCAGAGAUAUGAUUGUGAACAUCCAGUGCCUCACUAAUCGUUGUAUCGUCCAUGAAGAGAAUCGUAUCUUCAUCCACAACGACAUCAUUAUUUCCAUUUCCUACAACAGCUUCUGCUAUAACACUAGGUAACAUAUUAAUUUUAACCACAAAAGCAAUAGGUCCCAGCUUACUGCCUUGCGGAACGCCUCCCAUAACAUUCGCAAAAUCAGAUACUUCGUUUCCAAACUGUGUAAAAUGAGAUCUCUCGUCCAGGUACGAUGCAUACCAUUUGAUCAGAGCAGGUCUUACACCAAUUUCUCGCAUGUUUUCUAAGAGUUUAUUAUGAUCGAUAAGGUCAAAUGCCUUUCGGAAAUCCAAAAAGACUAUUCUUAUCACUCUGUGCAGUUCAUCCAAUGAUUUAUGCCACUUGUGUAUUAAAUUAACCAGCGCAUUAAUUGUCGAUGAUCGUGGUAGACCCCCAUAUUGAGAAUCAGAAAUUUUUUCAUCGGUAUCUUCAUAUAUCCACUGAACAGCAAAAGAUUCUUGAACCUUUGCUAGGACACUAGUUAAAGCAAUUGGUCUUAACUCUUCAACAUGCGUACAUGGUACAGAUUUAGGGAUUCCAGAUACCUUGUAUUUUUUCCAGAUCUCAGGAAAAAUUUUUGAUUGAAAAGAUUCAUUAAAGAUUUCGGUCAAAGGUACAGCAAAAUAUUUUGUAAAAAUCUUCAAGAUCUUCAGAGAGGGAUCAUAAGGACCAGGAGCUUUAUUAAGGUUAAUUUUACGCAAUUCUCGUUGUACCUGGUCGACAGUAAUUAGAGGUAGAUUCUCUAUACAUUGAAAUUCCAACCAAUUUUCGUUCACUUUCGGAUAAUUCUUAGUUAAGUUUGCAAAAUAAUCGUUUAUAUAAUGAGCAGACUGCUUAUCAUCCAUCUGAAACCCAGUAUUGGGAUCCAACAUUAUUGGUUUAGCAGUUUUCUUGCCGAUCAAGCCCUUCAUUUGUUUCCACCAAGAUUUAGGGUUGUUUUUAAAGUUUGGACUUACUUUAUUCUCGUAGAAAUCAAUUUUCGCUUUCCGAAUUUCUGCCGAGACUUGUCUUCUGAGACUUUUCACACGCUCAACUUUUUUAUUUUUAAAAGCCAUAUUCCUUUUAAGAAUCAACGAUUUUAUUUUAGCUGUCAUAAAAGGUUUAUCCUUACUAUAAACUUUAACCGUUUUUUCCGGAAAAUAUUCAGAAAUCAUAUUCUCAGUGACCUGAAGAAAGUUCCUUUCUCCGUAAUAUGAGACUUGGACUUCCAGCUGAUGAUAUUAUGAUCCGACGUUGACAGUGGGGCUAGGAUUUCCGGAGUUUCGUAACAGUCAGCCAUGUCAGUGAAUAUUAAAUCAAGGAUGUUUCUGUUUCUGAUACAUUUAGGUUUGGUGGAAGGUAUGCGCAUCCUACUGCAAUCCUUGAAAUUGAUCUUGGUAACCACUUUGGGCGGAUAGUAAUCCAUAAGCAUUCAAACAGUUGAUCGUUUAAAUCAUCACGCGUUUUUAGUGGUAUACUUUCAUUGACAUAUAUUGCUACCCCUCCACCUCUACCACACAAUCGAUCUUUUCUGAUAAUGUUCAGACCAGAAACAUUCACAACCUCAUCAGGGAUUACAUCUCUUAACCAUGUUUCUGUCACAAGAAUUAAGUCAGCAAUAUACUUAUCUCUAAGGAUUUCAAGUUCAUUUACCUUAUUGACUAA
rnacentral:lncRNA from 1 species